GCAAGGUGGGAAUCCUUGCGGCCGAAUAUCCAAGGUUUCCAGAGUAAAGCUGAUCUGCUCUGGGUAAGUCGGGGCCUAAGGAGAGGCAGAGAUGCGUAUCCGAUGGACAGCAGGUUUAAGAUCCCUGCACCCCUUGUUAUCAGAACUGCGGGGACACGGGAAGGGAAGCAGAGCCGGGAAUGGAAAGCCCGGUGCAAGCGAAGUAGUCGCAGGGUUGGAAAAUCCGCCCUGCAUGAGACGAAGGCGUGAUGCGGAGCGAAAUGAAGUAGUGAAGCUGCAGCCCCUUCCUGUCGAGAAAAGCCGCUAUCGUGUAGCAAGGGCCCGUACCGUAAACCGACACAGGUGGAUGAGGAGAGGAUCCUAAGGCCGGCGGGAGAAGUGUUGUUAAGGAACUCGGCAAAAUGACUCCGUAACUUCGGGAGAAGGAGUGCUGCGCAAGCAGCCGCAGAGAAAUGGCCCAAGCAACUGUUUAGCAAAAACACAGGUCUAUGCGAAACCGAAAGGUGAGGUAUAUGGGCUGACGCCUGCCCGGUGCUGGAAGGUUAAGGGGAGAGCUUAGCGCGAGCGAAGGUUGAACUUAAGCCCCAGUAAACGGCGGCCGUAACGAUAACGGUCCUAAGGUAGCGAAAUUCCUUGUCGGGUAAGUUCCGACCCGCACGAAAGGCGUAAUGAUUUGGGCACUGUCUCAACAACACACCCGGUGAAAUUGAAAUACCAGUGAAGAUGCUGGUUACCCGCGCCAGGACGGAAAGACCCCAUGGAGCUUUACUCCAGCCUGAUACUGGGAUUCGGUAUUGCAUGUACAGGAUAGGUGGGAGGCUAAGAACUCAUGGCGCCAGCCGUGAGGGAGCCGGUGUUGGGAUACCACCCCUGCAGUACUGGGUUUCUAACCUGCGCCCGUGACCCGGGCGGGGGACAAUGUCAGGCGGGGAGUUUGACUGGGGCGGUCGCCUCCGAAAGGGUAUCGGAGGCGCUCAAAGGUCUCCUCAGGAUGGUUGGAAACCAUCCAGAGAGUGCAAAGGCAGAAGGAGGCUUGACUGCGACACCGACGGGUGGAGCAGGUACGAAAGUAGGACUUAGUGAUCCGGUGGCAUAAAGUGGGAUUGCCAUCGCUCAACGGAUAAAAGCUACCCUGGGAUAACAGGCUUAUCACUCCCAAGAGUUCACAUCGACGGAGUGGUUUGGCACCUCGAUGUCGGCUCAUCGCAUCCUGGAGCUGGAGCAGGUUCCAAGGGUUGGGCUGUUCGCCCAUUAAAGCGGUACGCGAGCUGGGUUCAGAACGUCGUGAGACAGUUCGGUCCCUAUCCGGCGCGGGCGCAGGAUAUCUGAGAGGAGCUGUCCUUAGUACGAGAGGACCGGGAUGGGCCGUCCGCUGGUGGACCGGUUGUCAUGCCAAUGGCACGGCCGGGUAGCCAAGACGGGAAGGGAUAAACGCUGAAGGCAUCUAAGCGUGAAGCCCCCCUCAAGAUGAGAUAUCCAUACUCGAAAGAGUGAGAGACCCCUUAGAGACGAUGAGGUAGAUAGGGCAGAGAUGGAAGUGCAGCGAUGCAUGGAGUUGACUGUUACUAAUCGGUCGAAAGCUUG
rnacentral:rRNA from 1 species